rnacentral:rRNA from 1 species
UUGUAGCUUGCUACAGAUGACGACCGGCGCACGGGUGCGUAACGCGUAUAGAACCUACCUUUUACUGGAGAAUAGCCUUUAGAAAUGAAGAUUAAUGCUCCAUAGUAUUGAGACUUGGCAUCAAGUUUUAAUUAAAGAUUUAUUGGUAAAAGAUGGCUAUGCGUCCUAUUAGUUAGUUGGUAAGGUAACGGCUUACCAAGACAGCGAUAGGUAGGGGUCCUGAGAGGGAGAUCCCCCACACUGGUACUGAGACACGGACCAGACUCCUACGGGAGGCAGCAGUGAGGAAUAUUGGGCAAUGGAGGCAACUCUGACCCAGCCAUGCCGCGUGCAGGAAGACGGCCCUAUGGGUUGUAAACUGCUUUUAUACAGGAAGAAACACUCGUACGUGUACGAGCUUGACGGUACUGUAAGAAUAAGGACCGGCUAACUCCGUGCCAGCAGCCGCGGUAAUACGGAGGGUCCGAGCGUUAUCCGGAAUCAUUGGGUUUAAAGGGUCCGCAGGCGGUCAAUUAAGUCAGAGGUGAAAUCCCAUAGCUCAACUAUGGAACUGCCUUUGAUACUGGUUGACUUG